rnacentral:rRNA from 1 species
AAUCAACGCUGGCGGCGUGCCUCAGACAUGCAAGUCGAACGAUUAAGACUCCCUUCGGGGAGUGCAUAAAGUGGCGCACGGGUGAGUAACACGUAAGUAAUCUACCUUCGAGUGGGGAAUAACGUUCGGAAACGAACGCUAAUACCGCAUAAUGCAGCGGCAUCUAUGAUGACAGUUGUUAAAGAAUUUAUUCGCUUGAAGAGGAGCUUGCGGCAGAUUAGCUAGUUGGUAAGGUAACGGCUUACCAAGGCGACGAUCUGUAUCCGGUCUAAGAGGACGGUCGGACACACUGACACUGAAUAACGGGUCAGACUCCUACGGGAGGCAGCAGUCGGGAAUUUUGGGCAAUGGGCGAAAGCCUGACCCAGCAACGCCGCGUGAAGGAUGAAGUUUUUCGGAAUGUAAGCUUCGUAAGAAUAGGAAGAAUAAAUGACGGUACUAUUUGUAAGGUCCGGCUAACUACGUGCCAGCCGCCGCGGUAAGAC